rnacentral:lncRNA from 1 species
AUACCGAUAAUCAACAUUCUUUAUCUUGAGUAUGACCACCAAACUUGUAGUGUAAAGUGACCGGGCAUCCUCGUCGGGUGUUGAGUAGUUGAAAAACUGAGUUACCGGCAAUAUUUGGUAGCAAAGAAAAGAAGAUUGAUGCAACAUGUCAAAUCAAACUGCAACAACUAAUGUAUUAGGUACUUCUAUCCCAAUUUAUUUUUUAACACAAUAUCCAUUAAGUCCCAGGCAAAAUAUAGGUAAUUUAAAUUGAACCUAAUGAAGAUGCGGGAGAGGGGGCACGUAAAGGAGAACGGGUCAUUGUCAUCGACACCAUGUCAGAGGGUUUCAGACAGUCUUUCUUGCACGCCUCCAUGGACGGGUAGCACUCUAGAUUCGCGAGACAACACAAACAAAGCCAUCCAUCUUUGCAUCUUUCUCGUUGACGCAAAGCCCAUACGGUAAAUUGAUCUUCUCGUUAUCCAUGUCUUCUUCGAUGAUCAAACCUAUGGAACAACAAAUAAAUUGACCAUUGAUAUGGUAACUGAUCAUAUUGGACUGAUUAAUUACAAACAAGCAACAGAUACUGAAAGGUGAGAAAGAACUGAUAACUCUAUGUGGAAGUGCAUACAUUGCGCAGUAGGUGCGGAGCAUAGGAGAUGGAGACACAGUAGCAAGGCUAGACCAUAGAUGCGAACCGUGUACCUGUCCAUCCUCUUCUAAUGCAGUUUGAAAAUGCUAGGCAAAAGAUAUGCACGAUUGGUCUAUCUACACAGGGC